rnacentral:rRNA from 1 species
GAAAGAUGGCUUUGGCUAUCACUCUGGGAUGGACCUGCGGUGCAUUAGCUAGUUGGUAAGGUAACGGCUUACCAAGGCGAUGAUGCAUAGCCGAGUUGAGAGACUGAUCGGCCACAAUGGAACUGAGACACGGUCCAUACUCCUACGGGAGGCAGCAGUAGGGAAUCUUCCACAAUGGGCGCAAGCCUGAUGGAGCAACACCGCGUGAGUGAAGAAGGGUUUCGGCUCGUAAAGCUCUGUUGUUGGAGAAGAACGUGCGUGAGAGUAACUGUUCACGCAGUGACGGUAUCCAACCAGAAAGUCACGGCUAACUACGUGCCAGCAGCCGCGGUAAUACGUAGGUGGCAAGCGUUAUCCGGAUUUAUUGGGCGUAAAGCGAGCGCAGGCGGUUGCUUAGGUCUGAUGUGAAAGCCUUCGGCUUAACCGAAGAAGUGCAUCGGAAACCGGGCGACUUGAGUGCAGAAGAGGACAGUGGAACUCCAUGUGUAGCGGUGGAAUGCGUAGAUAUAUGGAAGAACACCAGUGGCGAAGGCGGCUGUCUGGUCUGCAACUGACGCUGAGGCUCGAAAGCAUGGGUAGCGAACAGGAUUAGAUACCCUGGUAGUCCAUGCCGUAAACGAUGAGUGCUAGGUGUUGGAG